rnacentral:miRNA from 1 species
UCUGAUAUCAACUCCAGCUCU